UGGGGAAUAUUGCACAAUGGGCGCAAGCCUGAUGCAGCCAUGCCGCGUGUAUGAAGAAGGCCUUCGGGUUGUAAAGUACUUUCAGCGGGGAGGAAGGGAGUAAAGUUAAUACCUUUGCUCAUUGACGUUACCCGCAGAAGAAGCACCGGCUAACUCCGUGCCAGCAGCCGCGGUAAUACGGAGGGUGCAAGCGUUAAUCGGAAUUACUGGGCGUAAAGCGCACGCAGGCGGUUUGUUAAGUCAGAUGGGAAAUCCCCGGGCUCAACCUGGGAACUGCAUCUGAUACUGGCAAGCUUGAGUCUCGUAGAGGGGGGUAGAAUUCCAGGUGUAGCGGUGAAAUGCGUAGAGAUCUGGAGGAAUACCGGUGGCGAAGGCGGCCCCCUGGACAAAGACUGACGCUCAGGUGCGAAAGCGUGGGGAGCAAACAGG
rnacentral:rRNA from 1 species